CACGCUGCCUCCUCAGGAAGUCUUUUCCUCAGCUAUUCUCAAAAGGGAGCAGACCGAUGGAAGACACAGGCGCCAUUUUGGACAGAACCAGAAGUGACGCGACCGGCGGGUGGUUAGCGUAAGAGAUCCUUGCUGAACUAAACUGCUCUUCCCCCUCCCAUCGAGCAUCGAAGAUGGCGCUGGAAUGUAGCAGAGAUAAGAAAUGCUACUAUCUAGAAAAGUACGCAGAAGGAGAUUUAACCAAUUAAGUGUUUUUAAUACCUAAUUUACACAACCCCUUUUGCAGAUGUCACUAUCAUCUAUAUAAACCUUGUGCAUCUUUUUUUCUGGUUAAUAAAGAAAGUAUCAUACAACUGA